rnacentral:lncRNA from 1 species
CUUUCCACCAUGUGAAGACAUGUCUGGUGAGGGCCAGAAAGCAGAUUCUCACCAGAAACCAAAUCUGCUAACACGUUGAUCUUGGACUUCCCAGCUUCCCAAACUGGAUGCCAAGUUGGAUAAAGAAGCAAAGCCUACUGGAGGAUCAUAUGAAGACACUGAGGAAGAACUCCAAGUGAUGAUGCAGGCAGAGAUUGGAGUGAUGCAGCUGCAAGCCAAGGACUGCUAGCCACCACCAGAAGCUAGGAAGAGGCAAGAAGGAUUCUACCCAGAGUGUCAGAGGGAGCAUGGCCCCACUGACAUCUUGAUUUUGGACUUUUAGCCUCAAGAAUUGUGAUAGAAUAAAUUACUAAAGUUUUCUUAAAGGAAUAAACUGAAAAUAAUGGAUAUAAAUAUUGCAUUUGUCUGUCUCAGUAAUGAUAGCAAGACUUGAUAACUGGGACAUGGAGAGAAACAAAGUCCUUUUCCCCUUUUUUUAUACUCCCAUAUUUUAUUUCUAGAAAUGACACAUAAAUAACAGACUCAGAAAGAGAAUAAUAGAAUGCUUCAGCUUUAUAAAUGGUGAAAUUUAGGAAGCACUAAAGAACUAGUAACUUUCUGCUCAUUUUCAGUCAAACCAUUGGAGGCAUUGCUACUCAGGAGGCAGAGAUGUUGGUUAUACCUAAUUUAUUGCUGUUAGAAAAACUCUGUGGCCUACAGGAUGGUGGCC